rnacentral:rRNA from 1 species
GACGGAGGAUGCAAGUGUUAUCCGGAAUCACUGGGCGUAAAGCGUCUGUAGGUGGUUCGAAAAGUCCACUGUUAAAAAUUGAGGCUUAACUUCAAAGAUGCCGUGGAAACUUUCAAACUAGAGUAUGGUAGGGGUAGAGGGAAUUUCCAGUGGAGCGGUGAAAUGCGUAGAUAUGCGGAGGAACACCGAUGGCGAAGGCAAUCCCCUGGACCUGUACUGACGCUCAUGCACGAAAGCGUGGGGA